UGCCGGUGAUGAUUUUCGUAGGCUUGUCCUGAUUAAAGACAUGACGUUAAACGUGAAGCUAAGAGACUGAGGCUG